AGAAUUUAGAAAGGAAGAAAGACAAAGUCAGAAAUGACGAUAGUUUCUUUCAGCGAGAAGACCUUUGCUAUAUCCUUUUGAUGAAGCUGCCACUGUGGCUAUAUCUACUGUCAAAGAAUUUGGCAGUGACCUCAAAGAGGACUAUUUUGAUGGUUAUGUGAAAUUGAUGAAGGGUUGCUGACGACUUUGCCCUAACUGCUUUGGGAUGGUUAACUCAUAUCACUCUUUCAUAUAUUUUCUUAAAAUUCCAUGCCAUAUGUUCGACCAAUUGGCUGAAUGACAUUGGAACCUUAGAACUAAUACAUAAAUACGAUCAAAAAUGUUUUCAUUCUAUAUAUUUUGAGACUUAAGACCUUAAACAUAUCCUUUUAUAUGCAAGCAUUAGAAAUACUUGCGGAAAAAAUUGUAUUCAUGAAGAAUCAAAGACUCCAAGUGCAUUGGAAAUAAAAAGUAACUGAAUCAGUUGACUCAGCUCUGAAAAUUGAGUGACGAGAAUUGUCUUCACAAAACCUACGACGUUUUCUCUAAGCUUUUUCAUUGUUUUUUUUUUCUCAUCCUUCUUCAUGAUUAAUUUUAGUUGAUUUCACUAGAGAAAGUUUCUCCCAUGUGGAAGCAUCAAUGUCCGUUUUUUGUAUUUUUUUUUAUUUGCGGAGUAAUUAUUUUAACUCGAAAAUUGAGGUAGUUAGAGUAUUUCGCAACUUUGCUCUGAAAAUGGCAAGUUCUCUUAUAUUUUGUGGUAAUUACUGUUUGUUUCUUCCCCUCUCCUGUUUGUUUUAUCUAACCAUUACCGACGCCUUCUCAUAUCCUGUAUACGGUCAAAACGGGCUUGCCUUUUGAUGACUGAUCGAGACUGGAAUGUGAUAGGUCAAGCUUCGGUAUUUAUCCAAUCAUGGGAUUUCUUACUGUAUUUAGAGUUGUAACUAAAGUAGGAAUCCCCUACUAUAUAAAGAGGGUCUGGUAAUUUGUAAAAGAGC